rnacentral:rRNA from 1 species
UACGUAGGGUGCAAGCGUUAAUCGGAAUUACUGGGCGUAAAGCGUGCGCAGGCGGUUGUGCAAGACAGAUGUGAAAUCCCCGGGCUCAACCUGGGAACUGCAUUUGUGACUGCAUCGCUGGAGUACGGCAGAGGGGGAUGGAAUUCCGCGUGUAGCAGUGAAAUGCGUAGAUAUGCGGAGGAACACCGAUGGCGAAGGCAAUCCCCUGGGCCUGUACUGACGCUCAUGCACGAAAGCGUGGGGAGCAAACAGG